rnacentral:lncRNA from 1 species
GUAGAAAGCAGCAAUUCCAACUCAUCGAUACUUAUCACUGGACAUUCUUUUGGAGGCUGUGUGGCUACCCUUUUCACCUUAUGGCUGCUACAAAGCCUCAACUUGUCGAAAGCGAAGCGUCCCCUUUGCAUCACUUUCGGUUCACCCUUGACCGGUGACGAACAACUCCGACAAUGUGUGUUGCAAUUCUCAACAUGGAGUUCUUGCUUCUUGAAUGUAGCCUCUAUCAACGAUCCUGUACCUAAAGCCUUCCUAACCGCUUCGCAAGCGAGUGAUUACAAGCCUUUCGGAACAUUCCUAUUGUGCUCCGCUUCGGGUGGUUCUUGCUUUGAGGACCCAGAUGCCAUUUUGCAACUGUUGGUGGAAACCGGCUCUCAGAGUGCUCAAAUUCAAGGUCCGAAUUUGGGGUUUCAGUAUUUCGAUUACGGACAGAUUUUGAGUGAUCUCAAGCUGAAGGCAUUUUCUAGAGAUGUCUUUGAGUUGGUUGAAGAGGAUAGAGUUCCACUUAAAGCUGGAAUUAAAACACAAUUGGCAGCAAUAUUUGGAGUUAAUAGCUCACAGGUAUCCAACUUUCCACACAAAUAUUUGAUUUGAUGAUGAUUCAGAGAAUGGUUUCUGCACAAACCUGUUUAUUUUUGUCUCUUGAUUUUCUUUUACUUUAUUUAAUCCGAAGAUUGGAAAUAAACACAGGUGUGCGGGGGGCAAUCACAUCCCUUGUUUUUACUUCUACUAACUUUUUUCGCAAAUCAUUUUGUAAGUCAUUGCAGCAGCAGCAACCCGACAUAAAUUUCGGCAAUCUGAUGCAAAAGAUGGAAACUCAAGAACGUAACCACGCAAUCCAGAAGACGCAGGUUUACAGUUCUUUCUGGAAAUUGAAUGAGAUUAAAAAGUACAUGGCCUACAUGGAAGGGUACAAGAAGGAGUCCAAAGAGAUGGGAAUUGGAUACUAUGACAGGUACAGAAACAAGCGUUGCUUGGGUGACAUUAAUGCCGAAGAGUACAAGAAGAAGCUCUCUAAUUACUGGGAGGACACGGUUGCAGAAGUUGAGAGCAAUCCCCAGAAAGAAGGAGCCGCAAUGCGUACUCGUUUCCUAUUUGGUGGAACGAAUUACAGAAGGAUGAUCGAACCGCUUCACAUUGCAGAGUACUACAAGGAAGGUGGAAAAGAUUACAUAAAGGAAAGGCCUCGACAUUUCGUUCUGUUGGAGCAAUGGUUCAAUGAAGACGCGGAAAAGAAGAAGCCAGAGAGGGAGCAGAAAGAAAAGGAGAACCCCCAACUGCGUGGCGAAAGCAAGUCGAACUCAAAAGCGAAGAAUGUGGCUUCAAGUCUGAAUGAUGAUUCUUGUUUUUGGGUGCAUGUCGAGGAAGCGCAUAUCUUAUGCAAUGAACAAGCGAGUAAUCCAAAUGCCAAGCAAAUGCUGAUGGAAUUUGAGCAGUACGUGCUGAAUAAUCUCGAGAAGUUUGCAGUGACGCCUGAUAUUUUCUUGGCCCAAAGCAGCUACAUGCAAUGGUGGAACGAGUACGAAAAAAGGGUGGGACAUGACUAUUCCUCACCACUCGCCAAGGUCAUGAAGCGUCACACUUACACCAAAUAUGCGGAGGGGGUCUCGGUUCUUGCUGAUAUAUAAUGCAAGAUAAUUAAAUUUUAAGCAAGCAAUUAAUUAAAUAAAGCAAGAUUAGUUAUGCUGUAUUGCUCAUGAUCUUCAUAUGGAAAAGUGUGCAGUACUUGCCAGACUUGUUGGCGCUACUACUUUUGAAUAUUUUUGUUUGUGGUUUCGUUUUGUUUUUUGGGCUCUAGCAUCUAUCUCUCUUUGUUUAAAGUAUAAGAAUGUGUGGGGGUAUUGUUUCAAUUAUGAUGUUGUAAUUUCCACUUCAUAAAUUAAUGAAACUCAUUGCAUUUCGAUUUCACUUAGUGUGAGGCCUACUCUAUUUUCAGUCUUUCAGCACAUUGCUAUUAGUGAUUUUUAAAUAUUACUCUAUUUUCAAUCUUUCAGCACAUUGCUAUUAGUGAUUUUUAAAUAUUUGGUAUCUGCUUAUGAUUUUUUCUUUUAUCAAUUUGUAUGUGUUAAUGUAGAUGUUUUUGCUGAGUCGAUUUUAAACUAUUAUUUUAUCUUAUUUUUAGUUAUAAUUUAUUGAUUAUUUUAGUUGAAUAUUGAUACUUUAUUCUAUAUUUUAAUUAUAUAAUAUGUGAAUCUAUUUUGGACAUAAAACGAUUAAACGAAUGAAUUUUAGAAUAAUUCUAAAUCAUGAAAUUUGGAAUAAUUCUAAAUCAAGUAGAUUCUUGAGUCUUUCCUGUUCGGGAGAUAUUUGUGUUUUUGUCUUUAGUGAACCUUGUGUUGUGAGCCACUAGGGGCACAUGUUUCCCUUGUCUCCCGGUUCUCUCUCUUUUCCCUCUCCCCGUCACUCUCUUUCCCUCCCUUCACUCUCUCCUCUCAAUUCUCUCAUCUUUCUCUCUAACCUCCCCUCUCCGGGAAAGCACACAAACACAACAACAACAGCAGCAACUGCACACAACCAUCCCUCACCCUCUAUGUGAACCCCACGAACCCAAAAAUGGCGAGGAGAUUCUUCCCCAGUUUUCCAGCGAGACCCGUGAGUUUGCAGGCAUUUUCCGGCUAUCUCCGGCGCAGAGAGAGUGAGCAACAUAAAUUUAAAGGACAAUGAUUGUCUGCCCUUCACUUUCGAUGCCUUCCUGUUUUGUAUGAUCACAGUUAGCACGUUAUUAUUUUAUAUUAUUUUUUUUAUAGAUAUAAUAAAACAAAAAUAAAUAAUAAUAUAAAAUAUUAACGUUGUUUAACCGUGAUCACACAAUCAGAAGACACUAGAGGACACCGAAAGUGAAGAGCAGACAAUCGUUCAAAUUUAAAUGAAUGGUUUCGACUUCCCAAGGGGUCAAAGGUGGUAAGUCCGGGCUCCACCUUGGAUUAUGUGAGAAACAUGGAAUGGAGAGUGUUACAGAGUAAUGAAUGGUUUCCACUUUCCAAGGGGUCAAGGGUAGUAUCUGGACUCGACCUUGGAUAAUGUGAGAAACAUGGGGUGUAGUGUUACAUAGAGUAAUUGAUUCGUUUUAAUUUUUUAUGAAGCCAACCACACAUCAGGAUGUUUAUUUUUUAUUUACUUAUCUGUAUUACUAUAUUACUAUAUUAUUAUAUUUCUUUAUUUUUCUCAUAUUUUGUAUUUUAUGUAAUUUUAAAUUAUGAACUUGUUAUACAUGUAUUGUUCUUCAAUACUCCUUAUUAUCGUUAUAUGAUAUAUAUGUUUAAUGUGUUUUUAAACUUUGGAUUUGUUGAAUACUCUUUUUAUAUUUUAUCAUUCUUUUAUUAUCUUAUUUGUAGAUUUCAUUCGAGUAUAAUUUUUUGUAAGUAUCAAUAUGUACUUAUUUACAAAAUAUACAAGAAAUUUAUCUAAAUCCGCCUAAACUGCCUAGACGCCUUCCUAGAUCCCGCUUAGAUGCCUAGGCGCUAAUCAUCAGCCUGUUUUCCGACUAACGCCUAACGUUUUUUGACCUUUAAAAAAACAGAAAGCUCAACCGCCAUUCCCUAUCCCUCAGAUUAACUCGUUAGAUUUCUUUGUAAAUUUCUUUGUACACUUCCGCGAAUGUGUAGUUGCUAAAUUCAAAUCAUGUAUUAAAUUACUCCGGAAUAUUCGUAACGCAAGCUGGAAGCAACAUGGAAUAAAUAAUUAUCUGAACUUUAACACGUAAACGUAGACAAGAGGAACAGAGGCAAAGUAUCGGGGCAAACGUCCAGCCCUCCCUUCUAGGAACAAGGUCAGUUGACAACGACAUAGACCUUCCCGUGCAUUGUCGACUUGGUGGGAACUUUCCUCGUGGGGCCCUUUGGUUGGUCGGGACAAUGAAGUCCAUAAGAAUAAGGACAAUACUUAGGUCCUGACUGCUCAGGAUCAAGUAUACGGACCUCACAACGUGGUACACUAUAAAGAUGACACCUGUCUUUUUGCUUAUCCAAACACCAAACAUGGCUUUCUUUGUUCUAUAUAUGCAAACAUAAACUAUUCUAUUAACCAAACACCAUCCUUCUCUCUCGUUGAAGAAUCCCCAACCUUUAAGAGACAAACCAGCAAGAACCUCCCUCGACCCACCUCGUUCCUCCGCCGCAAACCUACCCCGUGUCCUCUCCACCGUCGAUUCACCCCGUGUCCUCAUCCAACUUCUCUCCUCCGUCAACCGACCGCCGUUCCUCUGUCAACUUCACCGGUAUUCCUCCGUCGGCCCCGCUUCCGCUUCCGCCUCCGCCUCCUCCUUCAACCUCUCUCCUCCAUCGAAGUAGGUCCAUAAGAAUUCAUGUAAGGGAGGGGAUCUUUGUUCUUCGUGUAUAGUGUGACGUCGCUGCACUGAUACAAAUCUGUGAUGGCAUAGGAAAAGACAAGGACGAUGCGGGAUAAGCCCGGGAGCAAAGAGGAAGUGAAAAGGGAUUAUGGGGUGUUUGGAUGCCUAGGUAAUUGGAUAAACAGGGUGUUUGGCUGCAUAGCUUAAACAUAUAAAGUAGUACACGUGUUCUCUUUUAAUUGAGGCAUAUCAAUGGUCAGUGAAAAUUGUCCACUUGUGAGUAUCAAGUAUUAUCUUAAGAGUAACAAUAGCUUUAGAACUGUUUCCUCUUCUCUAUAAAGGACACACCAUUCUGUCUUCCAAAUCUCUCAAUCUACUGUGUUUUUAAGCAGAUCGCCACCAAAAGCUUGAAGAUGAACAACCAGUAAGUUAAUUUCAAACUCUUCCGAUCCUUGUUUUUCUUUGAAUCCUUUGUCAUUGAUUUUUCUUAUGGUUUAUUAGGAUAAUACUUGGCUACUGAAAGAUAAAUAGGAACUCUUAUUUAAAACUCUUAGGGUUUUAAACACAGGAUUUUGUAGUUAUGAUCAUAACCGUUCAUACUAUGAUUCACAUUGUCAAGAUCAUCUCUGUAAAAAAAUAAUUGAUUUUUGUCAGAAGCGAUUUGUAUAGGAUGAUUUAUAAACGGUUUGAUGACUAAACGUCCUUCGGUUUAAUUGAUUUUUGUCAGAAGCGAUUUGUAUAGGAUGAUUUAUAAUAUCAACGUUUCUGAUUAUAAACACGAACUUCUAUAAAUUGAUAACGAAUAAUUUUGAGAAAUUUUACUCAUCUCGUUUAUUAGACCUAAGUAUGAUUCUGCUCAAUUUAGUUUGGCAAAUAUCCACUUCAUCCAUGUGUGUUGAUUGUCGUGAUUAAGCGGAUCAUGUCUAGGACGGCUUCUGGAAUCGCUAUAAGUGUUUUGCAUGAAACUUCUUGGGGUUAAAUUUGGGGGAAAAAACUUACAAAGCGCGUCUAGAUAGUAGAAGCUAUUUUUAAGAAGCAUAUGUGCUAUGUGUAGCUUUAAGAAGAGUUUCCAAGUGCUUUAUUGAGAAACUCUUUGAAUAAAGUAAAAGAAAAAUGCUUAUGAGUAAAGUAAAAGAUAAGUGCUUAUGAGUAAAGUAUCUCGAGGCAAUAUUUAAUAAGUGUUCAUAUGCUUUAACAAAGUGGAAUUCAUUCCUACUAGUCUUCUGCUAAACUGACCUUAGGAUGAUUUAUAAUAUCAACGAUUCUGAUUAUAAACACGAACUUCUAUAAAUUGAUAACGAAUAAUUUUGAGAAAUUUUGAGUAUGGGUUUCUACUCAUCUCGAUUAUUAGACCUAAGUAUGAUUCUGCUCAAUUUAGUUUGGCAAAUAUCCACUUCAUCCAUGUGUGUUGAUUGUCGUGAUUAAGCGGAUGAUGUCUAGGACGGCUUCUAGAACCGCUAUAAGUGUUUUGCAUGAAACUUCUUGGGAUUAAAUUUGGAGGAAAAAACUUACAAAGCGCGUCUAGAUAGUAGAAGCUAUUUUUAAGAAGCAUAUGUGCUAUGUGUAGCUUUAAGAAGAGUUUCCAAGUUUCCAAGUUUCCAAGUGCUUUAUUGAGAAACUCUUUGAAUAAGUAAAAGAAAAAUGCUUAUGAGUAAAGUAAAAGAUAAGUGCUUAUGAGUAAAGUAUCUCGAGGCAAUAUUUAGUAAGUGUUCAUAUGCUUUAACAAAGUGGAAUUCAUUCUUACAAGUCUUCUGCUAAACUGACCUUAUUAGAAGCACAAUGAAAUUUUAUUGAAAAUGCUUUUAUGAUUCGUACAUACUUUUAUGAUACGUUUACGCAUGGGUAAUCGAAAUGGAAAAGUGGAAUUGAAUACGUGAAACAGUUUUAACAUGAAUCUGAUUCUACCAUAUUCCAACUCUUCAAUUCAAUUUCUUUUAUUUUGAAUACGGAAUAGUAAACAGCCUAUUAAAUUUUUCUGCCAAAUAUAAUCAAAAGUACUUUUGAUUGUUCUAAUGACAUUUUUAACUAUUUCAAAAGCAUUCCCUCCAUUUAACUUUGCUUCAAUUUUUUGUUGGUGAUGGACAGAAUUAGCAGUGCGGGGCUUGAACUAGCAAAUUUGCUGGUGACUUCUCCUCCCCUGCACCAGUCAUGGGACGCGGUUCAGAAGCAAAAGCUCCAGACAGCUGCUGAUCCGAAUGCACAAAUGGCCUUAUACAUUAGUGAAACCAAGCACUCAAACACCACCAUCAUAUCUUUUCUUACUUCACCAGUCAAGGUUCAAGAUCCACAAGCGAUGAUUUCAUCGAAGACUCUCAAGGACACAAAUUUUCUUCUCUUUGAGUUUUUGUGCAGCAAAAAAACCCCAAGUUUCUCCGUCAAUGAAUUGACAAUCAACUUCUUCGCGUUGAAUCACAUCAACCUCGACCUUCUGCGAACAAAGGUAUGUACUGUUAUCUCAAAUAAUUUUUUCCAAUUUUUGUCUAUUCUUCUCCUACUGAAUCAAACUUUUUCAUCGCUUUGACGACUAUUAAUUUUAGUGAGAAACGGUUCGAAAUGAUAUUUAUAAUGAUAGAUUACUUUCUACUUAAUUAGUUUGGCUUCUUUGACAACUCUUAAUAUUAGUGAGAAACACUUACAAACACCUCAUUAUUAGUGUUAUAAGAGCCGAAUGACGUAAAAUCGAUUCUAUUUUGUUUUGUUGUUGUUCAAAAUGGUGUUGAAUGUUAUUUUUUUUACCACGAAGGAACUUAUUUGUAAAAGACGUCUCCGAAUUAAUUAUAUAGCUAGCAGUUCAGUAAUUGACUAACUUCAUGCAAUAUUUCAGCUGGUAGAAAGCAGCAAUUCCAACUCAUCGAUACUUAUCACUGGACAUUCUUUUGGAGGCUGUGUAGCUACCCUUUUCACCUUAUGGCUGCUACAAAGCCUCAACUUGUCGAAAGCGAAGCGUCCCCUUUGCAUCACUUUUGGUUCACCCUUGACCGGUGACGAACAACUCCAACAAUGUGUGUUGCAAUUCUCAACUUGGAGUUCUUGCUUCUUGAAUGUAGCCUCUAUCAACGAUCCUGUACCUAAAGCCUUCCUAACAGCUUCGCAAGCAAGCAAUUACAAGCCUUUUGGAACAUUCCUAUUGUGCUCCGCUUCGGGUGGUUCUUGCUUUGAUGACCCUGAUGCCAUUUUGCAACUGUUGGUGGACACCGGCUCUCAGAGUGCUCAAAUUCAAGGUCCGAAUUUGGGGUUUCAGUAUUUUGAUUACGGACAGAUUUUGAGUGAUCUCAAGCUGAAGGCGUUUUCAAGAGAUGUCUUUGAGUUGGUUGAAGAGGAUAGAGUUCCACUUAAAGCUGGAAUUAAAACACAAUUGGCAGCAAUAUUUGGAGUUAAUAGCUCACAGGUAUCCAACUUUCCACACAAAUAUUUGAUUUGAUGAUGAUUCAGAGAAUGGUUUCUGCACAAACCUGUUUAUUUUUGUCUCUUGAUUUUCUGUUACUUUAUUUAAUCCGAAGAUUGGAAAUAAACACGGGUGUGCUGGGGGCAAUCACAUUCCAUGUUUUUUUCGACCUAUAUAUAUUUUUACUUCUACUAACUUUUUUCGCAAAUCAUUUUGUAAAAGUCAUUGCAGCAGCAACAACCCGACAUAAAUUUCGGCAAUCUGAUGCAAAAGAUGGAAACUCAAGAACGUAACCACGCAAUCCAGAAGACGCAGGUUUACAGUUCUUUCUGGAAAUUGAAUGAGAUUAAAAAGUACAUGGCCUACAUGGAAGGGUACAAGAAGGAGUCCAAAGAGAUGGGAAUUGGAUACUAUGACAGGUACAGAAACAAGCGUUGCUUGGGUGACAUUAAUGCCGAAGAGUACAAGAAGAAGCUCUCGAAUUACUGGGAGGACACUGUUGCGGAAGUUGAGAGCAAUCCCCAGAAAGAAGGAGCCACAAUGCGUACUCGUUUCCUAUUUGGUGGAACGAAUUACAGAAGGAUGAUCGAACCGCUUCACAUUGCAGAGUACUACAAGGAAGGUGGAAAAGAUUACAUAAAGGAAAGGCCUCGACAUUUCGUUCUGUUGGAGCAAUGGUUCAAUGAAGACGCGGAAAAGCAGAAGCCAGAGAGAGGGCAGAAAGAAAAGGAGAACCCCCAACUGCGUGGCGAAAGCAAGUCGAACUCAAAAGCGAAGAAUGUGGCUUCAAGUCUGAAUGAUGAUUCUUGUUUUUGGGUGCAUGUCGAGGAAGCGCAUAUCUUAUGCAAUGAACAAGCGAGUAAUCCAAAUGCCAAGCAAAUGCUGAUGGAAUUUGAGCAGUACGUGCUGAAUAAUCUCGAGAAGUUUGCAGUGACACCUGAUAUUUUCUUGGCCCAAAGCAGCUACAUGCAAUGGUGGAACGAGUACGAAAAAUGGAUGGGAAAUGACUAUUCCUCACCACUCGCCAAGGUCAUGAAGCGUCACACUUAUACCAAGUAUGCGGAGGGGGUCUCGGUUCUUGCCGAUAUAUAAUCCAAGAUAAUUAAGUUUUAAGCAAGUAAUUAAAUCAGAUAAAGCAAGAUUAGUUAUGCUGUAUUGCUCAUGAUCUUCAUAUAGAAAGUUGUGCAGUACUUGUAGGGCUUGUUGGUGCUACUACUCUCGAAUAUUUUUGUUUGUGUUUUCAUUUUGUUUUGGGCUCUACCUCUCUUGUACAAAGAAAAAGAAUGUGUGGGGGGUAUUGUUUAAUUACGAUGUUAUAAUUUCCACUUCAUCGUUGCAUUUUGAUUUCAUGUGAGGGCUAUCCUAAUCAGUAAUUGGAAUAAGUUAAGACUUGCGAUAAUCAUAGUUUAUGUUGUAUUAAUCUUGCUUAUGAAUCUAUAAAGUGCACAACUUAGUCUAGUUUCUUUGGCGUUUUUGCACAAAAUGUACACAAACUUCUAAUUUCUUUGGCUUUUUCACACAAUACGUAAUGUGUUAUCACGGAACAAAAAGAUAUAUACGUCAAGAUAGAUAGGCCCAUGACACAAUACUUAUAUUACAACUACAUAUAAGAGACUUGUUGAAUACUUAAGAGCAAGUCCACCCCUAAAAAUUUAGCGCCAGCACCCGUAUUUAUCCACUCAAGUGAACAGUAAUAUACUCCAGUGAACAAUAAUAGCCAAAGCAUCUCCACCCCUAACAAAAAAUAGCUUAGUCAAUUUUAUUAAAAUAUUAUUAUUUUUUAUUAUAAAAUAUUAUUAUUUUUAUUAUAAAAUAAUAAAAAUAAUAAUUUUAUUAAAAAAAAAAGAAGGAAAAGUCAGGAACCUCCACGGUUCUACUAGAACUCUCUAUACUCUCCCUCUACAUCCCCAAACGCCAAAUGCCACUCCUGACGCUAACUCGCUUCAACCUCCCUCUACAUCUCUCUCUCUCUCUCUCUGUUGGGUGGAGCUCUGCAAAAAUCCACCACCAUGUGCAAUGAUAAUCCCACCGGAUUCCAACUUUCCUUCCGGUUCACAAUCCCCAGUCUUUAUUCCUCCACAAUAUUUCAACCAUUUUGCCUAUCAAAUUCCCUAUCAAUCCAACCUCACUAACCCAAUUUGAUCUUUUCCUCAAUCGAUGGUUCCCUCGGCAGUAGUCGCCGCGGAUCCAGCCUAUCACCUACCCGACACCGACCCGUAUGACAAUUCGGGUUGGUACCCGUGGACCCGUGUUGGAUUUCGAGGUCAGACGCCUUUUGGUGAAGGCCUCGAAAUCUCCCACUGCCCCAGAAUCAACCUCAGCCCUUUGCGACGUGUUGAUCAUGUGGGAGGUUGAUGGCCCGACAUGUGGGUCUGUCGAUUUUAGGCCGGUCUCUUGCCUGGCUUGGGCUGGGUGUCGAUCAAAAUGCUCGGCUGGAGUGGAUAGCCUGGGUGUCGGGCUGGUUUUUUGGCUGGGUGCUGGCCUAUCAGUUCCCCGGUGGAACUGCUCUAAAGGAACACACAUUAUGUACGUGUUCUCAUGUUUUCAUUAUGUUCCAAUAACUCAUAAUAUAUAUAUCAUUCCGUUUUGUAAUUUAUGAUGAAAUCAUAUAUAUUUUAAGUAUAAACAAACACUUAUUUACACGAAAUAAUAAUAGAUUUAAUUAAAUCCGCCUAGUCUGCCUAGCUACCUGGACGCUAGGUCUCAGCCCACCGCUCGACUAAUCUGCGUUAACCAUAUUGUGUAGCUAGUCGGUGAAUUCAGACAAAAAAAACAGAAAGCUCAACGGCCAUUCCCUAUCCCUCAGAUUAACUCGUUAGAUUUCUUUGUAAAUUUCUUUGUAUUCUUCCGCGAAUGUUUAGUUGCUAAAAUCAAAUCAUGUAUUAAAUUACUCUGAAAUUUUCGUUACGGAUGAACAAGCUGGAAGCAACCGGGAAUGAAUAAUUAUCUGAACUUCAACACGUAAACGUAGAUAAGAAGACCGGAGGCAAAGCAUCGAGGCAAAAGGUCCAGCCCUCCCUCCUCCGGGAACCUUCCAGGAACAAGAUCCGUUAAUAUACUUUCCUGUGCAUUGUCGACUUGGCGGGAAAUUCCCUCGUGGGGACCUUUGAGACAAUGAAGUCCAUAAGAAUAAUAAUAGCUUUAGAACUGUUUCCUCUUCUAUAGAAAGGACACUGACCGUUCUGUUUUCCAAAUCUCUCAAUCUACUGUGUUUUUAAGCAGAUCGCCAAAAGCUUGAAGAUGAACAACCAGUAAGUUAACUUCAAACUCCUCCGAUCCUUGUUUUUCUUUGAAUCCUUUGUCAUUGAUUUUUCUUAUGGUUUAUUAGACCUAAUUAUGAUUCUGCUCAAUGUAGUUUGGCAAAUUUCCACUUCAUCCAUGUGUGUCGAUUGUCGUGAUUAAGCGGACAUGUCUAAGACGGCUUCUGGAAUGGCUAUAAGUGUUUUGCAUGAAACUUCUUAGGGUUAAUUUUGGGGGAAAAAACUUACAAAGCGUGUGUAGAUAGUAGAAGCUUUUUUUAAGAAGCAUAUGCGCUGUGUAGCUUCAAGAAGCAUUUCCAAGUUUCCAGAAACACUUGAGUAAAGUAAAACAAAAACGCUUAUGAGUAAAGUAAAAGAUAAGUGCUUAUGAGUAAAGUUUCUCGCGGAGGCAAUAUUUAAUAAAUGUUAAUAUGGUUUAACAAAGUGGAAUUUCAUUCUUACAAGUCUGACCUUAUUAGAAGCAUAAUUAAUUUUUAUAGAAAAUGCUUUUAUGAUUCGUACACACUUUUGUGACACGUUUUUAUUUAUUUUUUAUUUAUAAAGAAACGAUAUUAUCUACGCUAAAAGGACAGGGAUGAGCUUAACCUCAUAAUUGGCUAUCAAUAAUGUAGUUCAAAUUCGACUUUAACAAGAAUCGAACCUAAGACCUCUCACUUACAAGUAAAGAGGAAUACCACUAGACCGUAGUACUAAGUGACACUUCUAUGACACGUUUACGCAAGGGUAAUCGAAAUGAAAAAGCAUAAUUGAAUUUCAAUUACGGAGUACUCCAGUAUUUAUCAAAUAUUGUAAUCCAACUCCAAAAUUUGGAAAAAUUCAGUUAUCUACAAUUUUAUGGAAAUUAAAUUCCGGAUUAUUGGGGGAAUCGAAAUAAAUUGUUUCAAACCAUUAUACUCUCAUUUAUUUCCAAAAUUUUAAGAUUGUCCUUCGCAUUUACCCAACACCAAAUUUUGUUCCCUCAACAAAAAAAAAUGAAAAAUGAAAAGAAUUACAGUUUUUCUCACAAAGUUAAAAUAAAAAAAUGUUUUACCAAUAAAAUAAAAUAAAUAAAUAAAAAUUAGCAUAUAAAGUACAUUACUAGAAUUGAAGCAUUUUAGUAAUCACAUCGAUUUUCAUUCUGAUUCAUGUGAGUUUAUAAACAGUUUCUAUGGUUUAGUACUAUUUCUAAUUUGAUUUCUAAAAAUUUUAGUAAACAAUUUCAACAUGAAUUUGAUUCUAUCAUAUUCCAACUCUUCAAUUCAAUGCCUCAUCAACUCAAUUCCUUUAUUCUGAAUACGAAAUAGUAAACAACCUAUUAAAUUUUUCUGCCAAAUAUAAUCAAAAGUACUUUUGAUUGUUCCACUGACAUUUUUAACGACUUCAAAAGCAUUCCCUCCAUUUAACUUUGCUUCAAUUUUUUGUUGGUGAUGGACAGAAUUAGCAGUGCGGGGCUUGAACUAGCAAAUUUGUUGGUGACUUCUCCUCCCCUGCACCAGUCAUGGGACACAGUUCAGAAGCAAAAGCUCCAAACAGCUGCUGAUCCGAAUGCACAAAUGGCCUUCUACAUUAGUGAAACCAAGCACUCAAACACCACCAUCGUAUCUUUCUUACUUCUGUUGGAAAUUUAAGUAGUUUGAAUAGAAAUUUCUUUGUCCCACAUUGGCCAUUUCCAAAAGAUUUUAUCACUCUAUAAGGCUUUGUUCUGUAUAGAAAGUGAUUGGAGUAAUAGGCCUAGAGACUAAAAUUGGGCUCACCCUUAGGGUUGGGCUUUGGGGUGUACUAAUUAAUUGGUAAUUAAUAUAUAUUUAAUUGUCAAAAGAUGGGCCUUGGGCUCUAAUAAUUAAAUUAAUUAAUUAAUUUUAAUUUCGAAUUUAAAUUAAUUAAUUAUUUUUACCAACAGACUUAUCUUUUCAGAUGAAGUAUGAAGUGUGAGAACACAGAAACAAAAACACCCUUUUCAGCAGAUGCCUCCCAACAGAUGCAUCCCUUCCUUAUACCUAUUGCGAACAGGUAUAAUCACAGUAUAUAUACAUCCAUCUGCAUGGCAUUUAGAACAAAGAAAAAAUCAUAAAUCUUCUCUUGCAAUCAUAAACAUCCUUUCUGAGAGAACCACAUUAAUAUUCGCCAGAAGUCAAUUUUCAGGUAUUGGAAUUUUUGACUUAGAUUGUUGAAUCCUGAUGAAGCAGAUGUCCGUAGAACUACAAGCACUGAGUAGGGGCGAAAUUUCUGUUUCAAGGACAUUGCGGUACGCAAGCCUCGAUCUUUUAUUACUCUGCUUAAUUAAUAUUUCAUCUUGUUGAGUCUCUGGAAUAUAUUUAUUCGUAUUUAUUAUUAGCAUAUUUAUUUUAUUACGGAUUGUUGACAUAUAUCCUACAACUUCACUAGUCAAGGUUCAAGAUCCACAAGCGAUGAUUUCAUCGACGACUCUCAAAGACACAAAUUUUCUUCUCUUUGAGUUUUUGUGCAGCAAAAAAACCCCAAGUUUCUCCGUCAAUGAAUUGACAAUCAAAUUAUUCGCCUUGAAUCACACCGACCUCCAUCUUCUGCGAACAAAGGUGUGUACUGUUAUCUCUGAUAAUAUUUUAAAAAGAAGUUUCUUCGCUUACGAGAAUUCCUUAUAAUAAGAACUUGUUCAUUCAUUGCCUGCUUAAAAAUAGACAUAGACACGGAAGCAAGGACGAAUCAAAUAAAAAAAAAUUCCAAUUUUUGUCUCUUCUUCUCCUACUGAAUCAAACUUUUUCAUCGCUUUGACGACUAUUAAUUUUAGUGAGAAACGGUUAGAAAUGAUAUUUAUAAUGUUAGAUUACUUUCUACUUAAUUAGUUUGGCUUCUUUGACAACUCUUAAUAUUAGAAACACUUACAAACACCUCAUUAUUAGUGUUAUAAGAGCCGAAUGUCGUAAAGUUUAUUCUAUUUUGUUUUGUUGUUGUUCAAAAUGGAGUUGAAUGUUUUUUUUUUAACCACGAAUAUAUUUUGAGGAACUUAUUUGUAAAGACGUUUCCGAAUUAAUUAUAAAGCAGUUCAGUAAUUGACUAACUUCAUGUAAUAUUUCAGCUGGUAGAAAGCAGCAAUUCCAACUCAUCGAUACUUAUAACUGGACAGUCUUUUGGAGGCUGUGUAGCUACCCUUUUCACCUUAUGGCUGCUACAAAGCCUCAACUUGUCGAAAGCAAAGCGUCCCCUUUCCAUCACUUACGGUUCACCCUUGACCGGUGACAAACAACUCCGACAAUGUGUGUUGCAAUUCUCAACAUGGAGUUCUUGCUUCUUGAAUGUAGCCUCUAUCAACGAUCCUGUACCUAAAGCCUUCCUAACCGCUUCGCAAGCGAGUGAUUACAAGCCCUUCGGAACAUUCCUAUUGUGCUCCGCUUCGGGUGGUUCUUGCCUUGAGGACCCUGAUGCCAUUUUGC